rnacentral:rRNA from 1 species
AUUGAACGCUGGCGGCAGGCCUAACACAUGCAAGUCGAGCGAGCGGCGGACGGGUGAGUAAUGCCUGGGAAUUGCCCAGUCGAGGGGGAUAACAGUUGGAAACGACUGCUAAUACCGCAUACGAUUGGAUUGCCGAGGUGGGAUUAGCUAGUUGGUGAGGUAAUGGCUCACCAAGGCGACGAUCCCUAGCUGGUCUGAGAGGAUGAGAAGCCAAGCUGGAAUGGAGACACGGUCAAGACUCAUACGGCAGGAAGGAGGGGGGGAGAAUGAGCAAGGGGCUAAAGCCGGAGUCAGCAGAGCCGGUGGGGGGAUUAAGGUUUUCGGGUUGUAGGCCUCUGUCGCGAUCGAACGGGUAGGUGGAGAAGAAGCGCCGGCUAACUACGUGCCAGCAGCCGCGGUAAUAC